AUAUAAGUGUCCGAACAGGUUUUCCUUCCCAAUCCAAACACUCCUUCAUUCACCUCAACCUUUUGAGAUCUUGAAGAACCCUAGCACUGCCCCUAAAAUUCGCACACCCUCUGGUGGUGGCGCCACCUCAAAUAACCCCUGAAAUCACACCCUAUAACCUUAGCCAUUCCAUAUUCCAUAACCCAAAACCACGUCCCACGAAUCACUCUAUACUUGUUUGAAUCUCUAAUCAAAGGAUGAAGCCCUAAACCCCCAAAUUGCCUUACCCUCAUAUCAGUGGCAUGCAAGACAUUGGCCUCCAUGUUUUUGAGUUUCAAAGUCUGAUUUAACACAAAAUUAAUGAUGCUCGCUGGUUCUUGAUAAAGAAGAAGCGAUUGCAUUGGUUUUUGUUAAAUCGGAGAAUUCAGUGUUGGUUUCAAGUUUAAGUCGGUAAGUUUUCUUAUAUUUUCCUAUCCAUUUUUUUGUGCAUCAUCUAUUCCCCUUCUUUUUCUUCACCUUUCUUUAAGUAGUUUCUUCUGUUUGAAAUUUAGCAUAUGUCCAAAUUCUUAAACUAGGAUUUUCCGUUUGGAUUGAUUUGUGUUCAUAUAUGUUCUGUUUGUUUUAUAGUUUUUCUUUUCAAAUUUUAAAAGUUGUUCUCUGAUUUUUGUUUGGUUUAUGCAUUUGCAUGUUUAGUUAUUAUUCAAGACUUUCCUGUUUUAGUCUCAUAGCAAAUUUAAUAAGGUUGUUUCGACUUAGUAAUAUAAUUAAUUCUAUGGUUAUUGGUGUUAGUAAUCAGUCAUUUAGUUAGAUUUUAGUUUGAAAUAAUUCAAGUUAUUUCUUCUUAUGUUUCUUGUGAAUCACUAAAAUUGAUUUCUGAUUUGGUUUGGGCUUUAGGGUCAUUUCUGGCCCAUUUUCUAGGAAAACCCAUUCAUUUUAGUUUAAAUCUUGGGUCAGACAUGACCCAUGUGGACUGCUGAGGUAAUGUGAAGGUGCUUUAAGGGUAAUUCAGGGUUUUUAGUUUAGGGAAUCUUGUGUAACUGAUUUAGGAAGCUUCUAGGAAAGUGGGGUUGGGGCUAGUUUAAAAAAAGAUAUUAAAAUCAAGGACUAACUGGCAUAAACGAAAAUUUGAAAAUGUGUAAUAGGCAAAAUUUGAACCAUUUUCUGCUACCCUAAGAAGUCUCUAGGAAAGGCAUGUUACUUCCUAAUCAAGUCAGAUUUUAGAGACUGAAAAACACUAAAACAUUUAGAAACGGCUGAGUUUUCUUUCAAAUUCCAAAUACUGAAAUUUCUACAAAUUUUCUUGAUUUUUUGUGUUCUAAUUCCCUUUGAUAAGUCAAAAUUUCUAAAAGUUCAAUAGAAUAGUGCAUCUAGGUUGGGUCAAGAGUUUGAAGCUGAUAUGCUAAUUCUAUACUGUCCCAUUGCUGACUUACUACUGUUGUUUCCUCUUAAACUUCAAGCUCAUUUUUCCUUGUUUUAAAUUGAUGUAACCAGGUACUUACUGAACCCUAUUGACAUGUUGAAAUAAGAGGAUAGGAAGUUGUUGAUUAAAUUGGAAAUCUAUGCCAUUUGUGUUUAUCAAAUGUCCCUUUUAUGUCCUUAAACUCACUCAAUUGUGUAGUAGUUUUGUUUUCUCUUCCCUUAUUUUGUUUGUUCAUUUAUUCUACUAGUUUAAAUUUCUCACGAAAAUUUAUAAAGCUAUUGAAUUUGUUAUUUUGACAUGUAUGGACUGUGGGAUUACUGUAAUAGAAGUUCUAUAUUGAACUACAUAUUCUUGCUUCAUACCUAUUUAAGUUUAUUGGGAUUAAUGUUUGUUUGGGGAUUUGCUUGUAUUUGUUAAGAUGAUACAUACAUACACACACGUGUGUGUGUGUGUAUAUAUAUAUAUAUAUAUAUAUAUGUUUGAAAUCAGAAAGUUCUUAUUAGUAAAUGCAUUCUUUAUUUGGGAAUCAUGUUACUGUUUGGCUAUAAGUCAUGAAUUAUUUUAGGGAAAAGGGUAAUUGUGUAUGAAUUAUUGCAGCAUUAGGAUAAGUCUAAUUAUAGAAAAGAAUUUGGCAUCAUGAAUAUGUGUUGCAUUUGUCUAAGUUUGCAAUAAUUUAGCAGUAGUCUUUUAAAUUUUCAGAGUUUCAUAGAGAAAUGUAGUUUGCAUCAUU
rnacentral:lncRNA from 1 species